UUUAAGUAUACUCUGUAGUAAAAAGGUGGGAAGCUGUCUGAGAAGGUUACCUUUAAAGUUGGUAUAAAAUUAGUUCUGGGCUUUGAACACACAAUAGCAGGUAAAUGGAAAAACAUCCCAGAAAGUCACCGGUGGCCUGAGGAGGCCAGUUAGGGGAUUUGUAUUUGCCUGAGAUAACACACACUCAGAUACGCAAGGGAGGAAGCCAGUGGUCUCUGCACUGCUCUCACUUGCACUCUUACUUCCACCAGCAUGGCAGCAACAGCCUUCGCCCCAUCUCUCUCAAUCCCUUGGGAACAGGCCCUUCAAGACUUGUCAGAGAAGUAUCACAGAGGAAAAUACUAGAGAUUAUUGUCUGCCAAGUCAAGCUCUUGCUAUCAUCCGGAAAUGUUUAACAUAAGUGAAUCUUUAACUUCAAAAAGUGGCUGUUCUUGGUCUCAGGUAUUAUGUUAUAGUAAUGAAAAUGGACUAACAGGGAUUCGGAUGGACAUCCUUGGAGAUGCUGAUUGUAGCUGCGGUGAUGCCCCAGCCAGCUCUCUUUCCUCCAGGCCCAUUUUGUCCCGUCCUGCAGCCAUUGGAGUCUGAUGAAAAUAGUUCACUGGCCCAGAGUCUGAUGCAAGUUACAGUACAGUUCAUACUCCAGAGCGCCCCAUGGAAUCAGGCUGCAGAGGGUUCUGGCUGAUGCUGUAUUCCUAUUUUGCUCUUUCCCCUGCUCGAUCUCACUUCCCUCAUGCCACUUCUCCUGAGAGUGCUCCCUUAAGAAAUCACAUGCACCAAAAUUCUUGUCACAGGCUCGGCUUCUGGAGAAUAGGACCUGAACUGUCAACUUAACUAGUCCUGUUCGCUUAGAGAAUGCUUUCUGGAGGUCACAGUGCUUAUAAUAUGAAACUUUAAGUUCUAAUAAAUAAAAUAAAAGUCACAAACAGA